AUCGGAUCCAUACCCAAAUGCUCAGUAUCGUCCAGCCCUAUUAUUUUGUCCAGAUUAAAAGUCACAUGUGCUUGAUGGUCUUGGUGUCUCAAUGACAUUUUCCAGGCAAGGUUUGGCCUGCGGAUCUUCAGCCUCACUUUGGAUCUGCCCAUGUGCAUUGGACUUAUUUACGGACAACACAAUCACAUUCCCAAGAAGUCAGAUUUUGACGUUUUUGGUUUCUCCAACUCACCGUUUUUUGACGUGCUGGCUGUUCCUGAAAUCAAGGGCCCACAACCCUUGGGACGCGGUACCGCUACCCUAACGAGUACCGUACGCGAAUCGGGCCAGGACGCAAUACAGACAGCAGACUGGUACCUCAACACUGAACACGGGACCUGGUACCAGGCGUGGUGCAGGAAACAAUCUGGUACUGGACACGGUACUGGACCCAAACUGGUACUGGAAGCUAACUGGGCCCAAACACCAUACCAGAUGUGGUACAGGACACGAACUGGUACUAGACAAGGUACUGGACCCAAUCCGGUACCGGACACAAACUUGGCCUGGACGCAGUAUCAGUUGUGGUGCAGUACAAGAACUCAACACGAACCGAACCCGCAGAACGCUGUACUGGUACUCUAACCGGUACAGGACACGAGCGGGGCCCAGACGCGGUACGCGAUGAGGUACAGGACACAAACCGGUACAGGACACGAACUGGUACCGGACACGGUACUGGACCUAAAUUGGUACCGGACGCCAGGGGCCCAGGUUAGGGUACCGAUGCGCUCCACGAUCAGGUUUGCGACUUACAGGUCAGUAAUCCUCGAUUCAAUGGGUACAGCCAGCACCUUAAAAAACAAAAAAAAUGUAAAAAAAAAAAGAAAGAAAAGAAAA